GUGUCAGCAGCCGCGGUAAGACGAACCGUGCGAACGUUGUUCGGAAUCACUGGGCAUAAAGGGCGCGUAGGCGGCUUAUCAAGUCCGGGGUGAAAGCCCCCAGCUCAACUGGGGAAGUGCCUUGGAUACUGGUGGGCUCGAGGGAGGUAGGGGUCGAGGGAACUUCUGGUGGAGCGGUGAAAUGCGUUGAUAUCAGAAGGAACGCCGGUGGCGAAAGCGCUCGACUGGAUCUCUACUGACGCUGAGGCGCGAAAGCUAGGGGAGCAAACGGGAUUAGAUACCCCGGUAGUCCUAGCCCUAAACGAUGGGAACUAGCUUGGAGGCUUAUCAUGGGCUUCCAGGCGAAGCUAAUGUGUUAAGUUCCCCGCCUGGGGAGUAUGGUCGCAAGGCUGAA
rnacentral:rRNA from 1 species